rnacentral:tRNA from 1 species
GCACUGCUGGUGUAGUGAUAACAUGCAAGAUUCCCAUUCUUGCGACCCGUGUUCGAUUCCCGGGUAGUGCA